GGAAAUGGCAACCCACUCCAGUAUUCUUGCCUGGAGAAUCCCAUGGACAGAGGAGCCUGGUGGGCUGCAGUCCAUGGGGUCGCAAGGAGUCAGACAUGACUUAGCGACUAAACAACAGUGUGCAGGGUGACCUUUCUUGUCGAUAAGAAUUUGUAUCCAUCAAACAAAAAUGCUGCCUUAUGAGUUGCCCUCAAAAGUUACAUAUGUGAAGUUUACUCUAUCCCCUUUCAAUGGGUUGAAUCAUGCUCCCUAUCCCUGCCCGCAUAAUAUACUGAAGUUGUAGCCCCUAGUCCCUCAGAAUUUGUCUUUUUCUGGAAAUAGGAUGGCUGCAGAUCUGAUGAGUUAACAUGAAGUCAUACUAAAGCAGAACUGUGGCCAUGUGAAGACACAGGGAGAAGGCUGUGUGAUGAGACAGCCUCAAACCCAGGAGCCCGAGAGAUGGCCACCAAGCCACUGGCAGCCCAGAUGAGUCCCCUGUGGCUUCAGAGGGGUUACAGCCCUGUCUACUCCUGACUUCAGGGGUUGAGCCUCCACAGUUGUGAAGGAAUAAGUUCCUGCUAUUUCAAGUCACUCAGCGGCACUCUGUUACGGCUGCCCUAGGAAAUUAAUACAUCCCUUAUAUCCGAUGAAUAAAGACAUUUUUUGACGGGUUGUCUGUGUCCCUUCGGUGAAAGUUGAUGUUGAGGCUUUGGAUUCAUGGAAAUGUACCACCUGCUUCACUGUGUGGCACAUGUGGAAGUCAUCCUGAGAGAACCGGAAUAUUUUUACAUUUUGCUGCUUUGGAAUAAUUUACGCAUCCAGCUUCAUUCAAAAUAUGAAACAUUUGUACAUAGAGAUUGCAUGAAAAAUCAGAUACAACGCAGGACUUCCUUGAUACAGUGUUAAAGAUACAGUUUUUAAUGUUACUUAAGCCCAGAAUUCAGUUUAAAAUUGAAGUAGGUGUCAAAUGUGUAUAAGAGCGAUCUUACGAGUGUGAUGCUGACGCUGGAAGUGGAGAUAAAACAAGUUCAGCAAUGACAUCCUUCCUGUUGUGAAAAUAAGCAAGGGAGAACAAAUUAAAAGGGGGGUGCAAGCCGAUCAAGAGGGGUUGUUUGAGAUUCUGGAAUCAGUUUUGACCAUUUGAAUAUUGCCAACAAGGUACAGGGCAUCCAGAACAAGAGUGAAGACAGCUAGCUGGAGGGCAAGGUGGUCACUAGGGAGAAGACCGCUGCAGUCUUGUAUUUGACAAUCGAUUUUGCAUUCAAAUUGCCAUGUUCCAGUCCCCAGGAGCUACUAUACCGAAUUCACAUAAGAACGUGGAAACUGGCCGCAGAGUGAGCCCUUGGCUGUGUCUUUUCAUACACCUGUGUGUGUGUUGGGAGUGGCCAAUACAAAUAUACAUACCUCGUGUCAUACCUGGCUUUCAAGCUGGUGGUGGUUUAUAUUAAAGCACUGAAAUGCAGCAUCCUCUUUGCAAUCAGAAUUAUGAAAGCCUUUGCUAAGGACUGCAGUCAGAGACGGUUCUGUCAGGGGCUUUAGCCACAAAGCUACCUGUUCAUGGGACCUGUCCACUGGAAACUUACUGUCUCAGGGGACCACGAGUUUAUUCCAUGCAACCAGCCAUUACAUGAUAGGUGACAUAUUUAUGCAACUAAUGUGCCUUUUAAGGUAAAAAGGAUUAUUAUACAAUGUUUUGUUAGUUUGCUAGGGCUGCCAUAACAAAGUAUUGUAAACUGGGGGGCUUAAAUGACAGAAAUGUAUUAUCUCACAGUUCUGGAGGCUUAAAAAUCCAAUGUCAAGGUGUCAGCAGAGCUAGUCCCCUUUGAGGAUUGUGAGGGAAGGUUGUUCUAGGCCUCUCUCCUUGGCUUGUAGAUGGCCUUGUCAUCCCUGUAUCUCUUCGCAUCAUCAUUGCGUUGUGUUUUUCUUCGAAUCCAAACUUCCUCCUUGCACAAGGAGUCCAUAAGACACACCAGUCUUAUGGAUUGAGGCCCACCCUAAUGACCUCAUUGUAACUGGAUGGCUUCUGUAAAGAUUGUAUCUCCAAAUGAGGUCACACUCAAUCUUAAAACACUGGGGUUUAAGAUUUCAACACGAAUUUGGGAGGGGAGCUACACAAUUAAGUCCAUAACCAAUGUGGUUUUGGAUUGUGGAUUUUAGAUAAUAAGAAAGGGAGCCAAUUGGCCCUUUAAUAAGCCUCGCCUGUGUUUAUGAUGAAGCUAGGCUUUGACUGUCACAUGGGGCGUGAACAGGCCAGUACGAUCCCCAAAGGAUACCCUAUACCUAUUCAUCUGUUAUUCUCCCUUACCUCUCCACCCAUCCCCUGGUGACCGUUUAAUCUGUGUCCUAUGGCUGUGGAUCUACCUAUUCUGGACAGUUCAUAUAAACGGAAUCAUAUGAUAUGUGGCCAUCUGUGUCUGAUUUUUUCACUAAGC
ensembl:lncRNA